rnacentral:rRNA from 1 species
GACAGAGGGUGCAAACGUUGCUCGGAAUUACUGGGCGUAAAGGGCGCGUAGGCGGCUUCGAUAGUCGGGUGUGAAAUGCCUGGGCUCAACCCAGGAAUUGCACUCGAAACUCCGAGGCUUGAGUGUGGGAGAGGUUGGUGGAAUUCCCAGUGUAGAGGUGAAAUUCGUAGAUAUUGGGAAGAACACCGGUGGCGAAGGCGGCCAACUGGACCACAACUGACGCUGAGGCGCGAAAGCGUGGGGAGCAAACAGG